GGGUUUUAAAGUGUUUCUAAAUCAGAAGAAUACUGCGUUGGAAGUAAGUUAAAUUAUUUUGUAGCAAAUAGUUCUGUCACCAUUCAAACCCUGACCACACUUAAUAUUUUACAUUUUUUGUAUGUUUUCCCCUGCAACCAAACGUCUGUCUUGUUUUUUGCAUUUUUCCCAUCAAAUCCUUAGCUCUUGCUUGCAAAAACAUGCACACAUCAUCUUGCCUGAACUGUGCUCCAAUAUAUGUUUUGUGCCCCGCAGUACUUAGUUUUUCCCAUGUCCCAUAGAACUCUGAAAUUAUGAUGCCUCUUACCAGUAGGUCAGUAUACUAGCAUCAAAUUAGAACCCUCUUAAUCAAAAGGAAAAAAGUGGACUUAAAUGUAUGGAAUACAUGAAGAACGUGUGGUGAUCAGGGAAAUCCUCUUGUGAGUUUCCGUAGCGUUUCGGGCUAGAGUGAGAGGUGGGAUCGCGCCUCUCACUCUGGCCCGAAACGCUACGGAAUUCACGAGAGGAUUUCCCUGAUCACCACAAACGACCAGAUUUCAAAUACGUUUUAAAAUCCUCAAAACAAAUCACAAGUGAAAAAAUGAAUUUUAGGUUGAUUCUGUUCCAAAGGGAUAAGAGGUAUUCUUUUUAAAUCCAAGUCUCGUGACAGAAUUGCAGCUAUUUAUUUGCAUUUCAUAGAAAACAGAAAUCUUGAGCUCUUCAUAAUUUACAUUAUUUUGACAGCUCUCCCCGAUAAAAAGCACACCAAUUCUUUGCUCUGAAUCUCGCCAAAAUUAUGGGAAAAUACUUAGUAUACUGACCUGCAUAAUAUUCGUAAAUCUGGUUUUGUCCCCUCUGGAAUGAUCCAACCUCGUAACUGUGAAGAAAGCCUGAUUAUAUUUUUUCAAAGUAUACACUGCCCAUUGUUCUCUGUUGUUAAUGUUGCAUUUUGUUACUCGUAUUUCCUUGUAGAAACCCGAAACAAAACCCCAAGAGGAAGCUAAAAAACCCUUAGAAAACCCCAAACCUAGCGAACCCAAGCAGCCAGAAAAGAAACCAACCCUUGAGAAACCUGAGGAGAAACCGAAAUCAACUCUCGGUCUGAAAAAACCAUCAGUCAAGGUAAAUGAGCGUUGUUUUUUACCAUCGUGGCACUUGUUCAAAAUAAGAAUAACGUAUCCCAAAAAAAGGGGGUACAUAUUAGUAGAUGUCUUCCUCAAACAGGAAAAGAAUGUAAAGUUUGAUCGAGCUUGCCGGCCGUAAUUCUGUCCAAGUUUUAUCACAGGCACAAUUUACUCAGAGUUUGCUUUUACUAGAG
rnacentral:lncRNA from 1 species